GACGAACGCUGGCGGCGUGCCUAAUACAUGCAAGUCGAACGGAGCGGCGGACGGGGGAGUAAUGCCUAGGAAUCUGCCUGGUAGUGGGGGAUAACGUCCGGAAACGGGCGCUAAUACCGCAUACUAUCAGAUGAGCCUAGGUCGGAUUAGCUAGUUGGUGGGGUAAAGGCCUACCGAGGCUAUGACGCGUAACUGGUCUGAGAGGAUGAUCAGUCACAUUGGAACUGAGACACGUUCCAGACUCCUACGGGAGGCAGCAGUGGGGAAUAUUGGACAAUGGGCGAAAGCCUGAUCCAGCCAUGCCGCGUGUGUGAAGAAGGUCUUCGGAUUGUAAAGCACUUUAAGUUGGGAGGCGUUACCAACAGAAUAAGCACCGGCUAACUUCGUGCCAGCAGCCGCGGUAAUAC
rnacentral:rRNA from 1 species